GUAAGAAUGUAUCGGUGUGGUUGAAUGUAUGUAUGCGCUUGUCGGUCGCAACGAAUCUUUCUAAUGAUACGGGGGCGGAGUCAUGAAGGACGCGCGGGUUGGUUGGUGGCUAACCCCCCAUCCACUGAAACCACGCCCACAUCGGAAAGGAAGAUGCGGGUAACGGGAGACGAUACUGCUGGGGCGUGCUUGUCCCUUGGGUAGU
ensembl:ncRNA W05E10.12 ncRNA